rnacentral:rRNA from 1 species
UACGUGGGGGGCAAGCGUUGUUCGGAAUUACUGGGCGUAAAGGGCGCGUAGGCGGCGCAACAAGUCACUUGUGAAAUCUCCGGGCUUAACCCGGAGCGGCCAAGUGAUACUGUCGUGCUAGAGUGCGGAAGGGGCAACUGGAAUUCUCGGUGUAGCGGUGAAAUGCGUAGAUAUCGAGAGGAACACCUGCGGCGAAGGCGGGUUGCUGGGCUGACACUGACGCUGAUGCGCGAAAGCUAGGGGAGCGAACGGG